UUGCUUCAGCAACAGAUAUAUGGAAAUUGGAAUGAUACAGAGAAGAUUAGCAUGGCCCUGCACAAGGAUGACAUGCAAACUCAUGAAGCAUUCCAUAUUUUU